rnacentral:rRNA from 1 species
AGUGAACGCUGGCGGUAGGCCUAACACAUGCAAGUCGAACGGCAGCACAGUAAGAGCUUGCUCUUACGGUUGGCGAGUGGCGGACGGGUGAGGAAUACAUCGGAAUCUACUUUUUCGUGGGGGAUAACGUAGGGAAACUUACGCUAAUACCGCAUACGACCUACGGGUGAAAGCAGUGGAUCUUCGGACCUUGCGCGAUUGAAUGAGCCGAUGUCGGAUUAGCUAGUUGGCGGGGUAAAGGCCCACCAAGGCGACGAUCCGUAGCUGGUCUGAGAGGAUGAUCAGCCACACUGGAACUGAGACACGGUCCAGACUCCUACGGGAGGCAGCAGUGGGGAAUAUUGGACAAUGGGCGAAAGCCUGAUCCAGCCAUACCGCGUGGGUGAAGAAGGCCUUCGGGUUGUAAAGCCCUUUUGUUGGGAAAGAAAAGCAGCAGGUUAAUCCCCCGCUGUUUUGACGGUACCCAAAGAAUAAGCAACGGCUAACUUCGUG